AAACGUCAUAUCAAACCAAAUAAAAUUGCUGCCAACAACGACGAUGAUCCACAACAGCAGCAAAUACUAUACAGGAAGAAUAAUUCUUGUACGGAUCUCUCUUA
rnacentral:ribozyme from 1 species